rnacentral:rRNA from 1 species
UGGGGAAUAUUGGACAAUGGGGGGAACCCUGAUCCAGCCAUGCCGCGUGUGUGAAGAAGGCCUUAUGGUUGUAAAGCACUUUAAGCGAGGAGGAGGGUACUGGUAUUAAUACUACCAGGUACUGGACGUUACUCGCAGUAUAAGCACCGGCUAACUCUGUGCCAGCAGCCGCGGUAAUACAGAGGGUGCGAGCGUUAAUCGGAUUUACUGGGCGUAAAGCGUGCGUAGGCGGCUAAUUGAGUCGGAUGUGAAAUCCCCGAGCUUAACGUGGGAAUUGCAUUCGAUACUGGUUAGCUAGAGUGUGGGAGAGGAUGGUAGAAUUCCAGGUGUAGCGGUGAAAUGCGUAGAGAUCUGGAGGAAUACCGAUGGCGAAGGCAGCCAUCUGGCCUAACACUGACGCUGAGGUACGAAAGCAUGGGGAGCAAACAGG